rnacentral:tRNA from 1 species
GCUAUUGUAGCUCAGUUGGUAGAGCAACGGAUUCGUAACCCGUAGGUCGGCGGUUCAAUUCCGCCCUGUAGCUCCA